GACGAACGCUGGCGGCGUGCUUAACACAUGCAAGUCGAACGAAGUGGCGAACGGGUGAGUAACGCGUAAUCAACCUGCCCUUCAGAGGGGGAUAACAGUUGGAAACGACUGCUAAUACCGCAUACUGAAGGAGGGGUAUGCGUCGGAUUAGCUCGUUGGAGGGGUAACGGCCCACCAAGGCGAUGAUCAGUAGCCGUUGUGAGAGUGUGGACCGCCACAUUGUGACAGGGACACGGCCCAGACUCCUUCGGGAGGGAGCAUUGGGGAAUCUUCCGCAAUGGACGAAAGUCUGACGGAGCAACGCCGCGUGAGUGAUGACGGCCCUCGGGUUGUAAAGCUCUGUUAAUCGGGACGCGGUACCGGAAUAGAAAGCCACGGCUAAAUACGUGCCAGCAGCCGCGGUAAUUC
rnacentral:rRNA from 1 species